GGGAAGUACGUCCUGCCCGGUGAAUUACGGUUUUAACGGCCGCGGUACUUUGACCGUGCAAAGGUAGCAUAAUCAUUUGCCUUUUAAUUGGAGGCUGGUAUGAAUGGAUAAACGAGGGGCUUAUUGUCUCAUUAUUAUUUGUAAAAAUUAACCUUCAAGUGAAGAUGCUUGAAUUUUUCUAAAAGACAAGAAGACCCUAUUGAGUUUUAUUUUAAUUUUAUGGGCAUCACUAGUUGAGUAAUAUGGUGGUGACAUUAAUUUAAAUUUAGUUGGGGCGACUAGGGAAUAAGAAAAGCUUCCUUAAUUAAUAAGAUAAUAUGUCUUUUUAGUGACCCAUUAAUAAUGAUCAAAAGACGGAACUACCAUAGGGGUAACAGGCUAAUUUCCUUAGAGAGACCAUAUUGACUAGGAAGAUUGGCACCUCGAUGUUGGCUUAAGAUGACCUUUGGGUGUAGAAGCUUAAAAGGGUUGGUUUGUUCAACCAUUAAA
rnacentral:rRNA from 1 species